UACGUAGGGUGCAAGCGUUAUCCGGAAUUAUUGGGCGUAAAGAGCUCGUAGGCGGUAACUCAAGUCAGAUGUGAAAUAUCCGGGCUUAACCCGGAGGGGUCAUUUGAAACUGAGUAACUAGAGUACAGCAGAGGAUAGCGGAAUUCCCGGUGUAGUGGUGAAAUGCGUAGAUAUCGGGAGGAACACCAGUGGCGAAGGCGGCUAUCUGGGCUGAAACUGACGCUGAGGCGCGAAGGCUAGGGGAGCAAACAGG
rnacentral:rRNA from 1 species